UUCAGGCUGUCAGAGGAAGAAAGAGCUAACAGCCCGACCCGCGAGACGUGAGUGUGGAGAACAGAGACUACUGUAUAUAGACCACUGAGGGAUGGUAUGGACCUUUACUGAACAGGGAAACACUGGAGUAAAUCAUGGAGUCCGGUCACCUCCUCUCUCCUGAGUCCACGGUGACGUCCCUGCUGUCCAGCUCCAGUCACCUGAGGAGCAGCCUGCUGGCUCCUGAACACAACACCGCCUUCAGAUACAGAGAUAAGGAAAAAUACAAAAAGACAAGCUGUUGGCCCAGAAGAUGUUUAUGGGGCUGGGCUAACUAAAAAUUAAUCUCAUGCUUAAUGAUUGAAUCAUGGAUAUAUGGAUUGCAGAACUACACCUCGGCCUCUGCGGCGUUGGACGCCUACAUCUCAGACUUUGAGUGGAGUCAGAGCAGCCAGUUUGUUACGAGGGGGUUGGUUCUGCCUCACAGUCUGCCCUCCACGCCGAGGGGACCCAGAGCGAGCACGCUUAGAAACACAGAUGUUCUCAGGGAACAUUUGACCGACAGAGAGCUGGACUUCCUGAACCUCCCCGUUAGCUCCCUCCAUCACCGUGGCAACAGAGAUAGACUCUCCAUGACUACAGAUGAGCUGCUAUCUAUUCCUUAUGACGGCUCGAUGCCUGUAACGCACACCUCCGCCUUCCUCCAAGGUCAUUAAACGCAUCACUCAAACUCCCCCUGACAUCCUCUGAGAAUCAAUGCUUUCCCUUCACCUCUGACUUAAUUUGAGGUCAUUUAAUGCAUCACUCCUUCCUACUCCUCCAUCUUUUGUUUCUCAAUGCAUCAUGUUUGGAUGAUGGCAUUUGUCUGUGUUUCAGAAAUUGUGUGGUGACUAGGGGUAUAACGGUAUCCAUAUUCGU